rnacentral:lncRNA from 1 species
GAGCCUAGAUUGUGAGGAUACUAGAGCGAGAGUAUAGAUGAUUGUUAAAGAAUAAGAGUACCGAGCGUGACCAAUAUAAGAAGUUAUUUAGAUGUCUACUCACUCGUCAAUGACUUGCUUGAUGUUAUAAUAGUAUGAUUAGUUCUUUGACCUACGGUUCCUCGCUAUUCAUAAUGGGAUUACUGUAGUUUGACUGUACAU